GACAUGUUUCUCCUUCUUGAGAACCUUCUGACUAAUGCUGAUAUCUUAAAAUGUAUAUCGUGGGAGUGGGUCUGGUAAGACCUUUACAACCUUGAGACAUUCUUUUGAUUUAUUGUAAUAACCAACUGUAAAAGUAUAUGACUCCCUUUCUAAGACUAGCAAGGGGGCACUGUCAUCCCCCUCCUGAUGUCUUUGUCAGAAGCUUUCCCUGUUCCCUUUUCACUUUAAUAAAACUCUGCUACACAGAAGCUCUUGAGUGAUCGAGCCUGGACCCUGGUCCUGAAGCUAAAUCUUCUUCUUUGGAGAUCACGAAUCUGACAUUCUUCACCGUAAGCUAACAUCUUGGGUGCUCAUCCGGGGUCUUCAGGACAAGGAAAGGAACAGCCAAACACUAUUUGAACAGCUUGCCUCAAUCUUAACUCUCACAUCUCAGCUGCAUGAACAGGAAAAGUGCCCAAGAGAAAACACAAUCCAG